rnacentral:rRNA from 1 species
GACGAACGCUGGCGGCGUGCCUAAUACAUGCAAGUUGAGCGCUGAAGGUUGGUACUUGUACCAACUGGAUGAGCAGCGAACGGGUGAGUAACGCGUGGGGAAUCUGCCUUUGAGCGGGGGACAACAUUUGGAAACGAAUGCUGAUACCGCAUAAAAACUUUAAACACAAGUUUUAAGUUUGAAAGAUGCAAUUGCAUCACUCAAAGAUGAUCCCGCGUUGUAUUAGCUAGUUGGUGAGGUAAAGGCUCACCAAGGCGAUGAUACAUAGCCGACCUGAGAGGGUGAUCGGCCACAUUGGGAAUGAGACACGGCCCAAACUCCUAAGGGAGGCAGCAGUAGGGAAUCUUCGGAAAUGGACGAAAGUCUGACCGAGCAACGCCGCGUGAGUGAAGAAGGUUUUCGGAUCGUAAAACUCUGUUGGUAGAGAAGAACGUUGGUGAGAGUGGAAAGCUCAUCAAGUGACGGUAACUACCCAGAAAGGGACGGCUAACUACGUG